rnacentral:tRNA from 1 species
CAAUUGAUAUCUUAAAAUAAGAAAUGAUUUUUUAAAUCUUAUAUAGUAAAUUAAUGAAUACUUCAAUUGA